rnacentral:lncRNA from 1 species
UCUUAUUUACAUUUAAAUUACUUGUUUUUAGCAAUUAUGCCUAGAUUAGACAUUAAACAGCUAACCAUCAUCUUAAAUUAUUUUUCUUUUUGACAAAUUUUGUAACAUAGAGAUAGUGUGAGCUUAUUUGACUGGUAAACCCAGGUAGAAAAAGUUAUGUGUUUGCAUUAUAUUUAAGGUUGACAAUUCUGAAGAUAUGCCUGUUUUUAUUAAAUCAACCAACUUAGAGUAGCUUUUAUUUGUCAGAGAUUUUCCAGAUCUUAUGAACCUGAAAAAUAUUUGAGUUAGUUUCUAUAUUUCUGAGAGUUUUAGGAAUACUUAAUUCACAUAAGCUUGUUUUUCUGUAAGCCAAUUAGAGCUCUUUUAAAAACAUCACAUAUACGUGCUAUACACAGAUACAUAGAUAUACAUAAAUAUAUAGAUGAACAAAGGCAGAGAUCCUAUAGCUUUCAUUUUAAAAUUUUAGCCAUGUCUUAGGUACAAUAAUACAAAACCUGAAAGAACAGCUGGAUCCAAAUAGUAUUUCUGGUGGAUAGACUAAGGUUACCUGCUCAGAUGGACCAAGAUUUUUACUAAAGAUUUUUCAUUUGCAUCCUUUUUUAUUUGCAUUCUUUUAGAGAAGCUAUCUUUGGAAUCAUUUUGUCUUUUAGGAGCUCCUGCACAACAAUCAAAGAACGCAUUCCACUGUCUCUGAGAGGUUUCGGAUCCUCUCUCUUCAAGAGUGCCGCUUAAGGCUGGCUCUAAUGUGAUUUUCCCACACAACAGGGAACAUGGCUGCCAACUUCUACAGGCUUCACAUACACAGUUUCACCAUGAAAGAAGCACUAUGCUGGGGUGCCCAAGAGUGCUGUUUCUGGAGACAGACUGCCUGAAUUCGAAUCCUCGCUCUGGGCAAAUUACUUACUCUUUCUGAACCUCAGAUUCCUUAUCUAUAAAAUGAGCUAAUAAUAGAGUCUACUUCAUAAGACUGUUUUGUGAAUUAAGGGAGAUAUACAACACAGCACUGGCAUUUAGUUAGUGUUGAUUGUUAAUGCUGCUGUUAUUAUUAUCAUGAUCAUCAUUGCUAUUACGAAGCUGAGCCUCUUCCCCUGACUCUGACUUGGAGAACUUCAAGGGAGAAGUCUAAUUGAUCCAGCUUGGGUCAUGUGC